rnacentral:rRNA from 1 species
UACAGAGGGGGCAAGCGUUGUUCGGAAUUACUGGGCGUAAAGGGCGCGUAGGCGGCCUGCUAAGUCGAACGUGAAAUCCCCGGGCUCAACCCGGGAACUGCGUCCGAUACUGGCAGGCUUGAAUCCGGGAGAGGGAUGUGGAAUUCCAGGUGUAGCGGUGAAAUGCGUAGAUAUCUGGAGGAACACCGGUGGCGAAGGCGGCAUCCUGGACCGGCAUUGACGCUGAGGCGCGAAAGCCAGGGGAGCAAAGCGGGAUUAAGAAACCCCU